rnacentral:lncRNA from 1 species
AUGUGGUAUAUUAUUUUAAAGAGAUUAAUUCCUUUUCCAUAUUCAUACCUUUAUAGAAUCUCCUUUCAUGCCAACUUUGGACUUGGUCCUGUAACAUACUUUGGCCAAGGGGACAAUUGCAAACAUGAUGGAAAUAGAUUCUUAAAAAGAGCUUGUGCAUUGGGACUUUCCCUCUGUUGCUGUUCUCAUUCAUUCCAAGUACCAUGAGAAGAAGCCCAGGUGAGUGAGUCUGCUCUGGGAUAAGAAACACAACAGCCCAGGAACCUUUGUCACCAAACCAAUAGCCAGCACUGACUGGAACACAGCACCAAUCAAGAAGCUCAAGAUACCAGAUAUUUAAGAGAUACCAUUUUUGAUCAUCUGGUCACUAACUGACGACAAACCACAGACUGUUCUCCUUAGUGGAAAAUGGCUGCUGAGUUUGCGAAAACAGUACAAAAGAUUUCAGCAUAAAGAUGCUGGAUCAUUUGAAAUUCUCCAUCUCUGCAAAAUUCUCAAAUUAGGCUUAUGAAAGCAAUCGGAUUUAGCAAACAGCUAAUUGAACAAAGCAAAAGCUUAUCAGCAAGCCUGGAUUUGGACUGCACUUGUUCCCACAUUCUCUUAGCAGCAACAUGUCUUCAGUGUCCCAGUUGGAACUGCUUGACAAAACUGUAUGGUGCUGUCAAGGCCCUGGAAGGAAAGCAAGGGGUUCAUGAUGUAGAAGGAGUAAACUUAUUAAAGAGAUCCCCAGUGGAGCACUUGUAAUGAGCUGAAGAUUUCUCCAGAGGCCUGUUGCCUGUCUGAUGACAACAGGAAACAUUUUUCUAAACCAGGAGGUUUACAAUCUACAGUGGAGGUGUGCUAUUAAACUGUAGGAUUUUUAUUUCCCCCUAUCUGGC